ensembl:snRNA LOC120095722 U7 small nuclear RNA
AGCAGUUAUGGCUCUUAAAGUAUUUUUUCUAGCAGGUUUUCUGAUUUUGGUUGGAAAAUCCAA